GCCCGGGUCCUGAGCGGGCGCGUUUGUGGGCCACCCGGCCGCCGUCCACGCAGGGGCGCCCCCGAGCACGCGCUGGAGGGGAGCGGAACCAGGUCGGUCCUGGCCCACAGGCAUUACAGACAGAGAUCCAGGAGAGCUGAUUCUGUAUCUUCCGAGACUCAGCUAUGCAAAACAAGGAGCCCAGCUGGAAAUGCAGAUAUCUAAACUGAGAGAUAUAAAGUGUUAAGAUGUCAUCAUGAAUUACUUUUUCUGUAGUGAGAUAUAGGAAGGCCCCUGAAGGAAUGGGAUCUGGAUGGGCAUCGAUGGGAAAGUAGGUUUAGGUAGAAGCAGGUGUGGAGAUCAAAAAAAAGAAAAAAGAAAAAAAGAAAGCAGAUGUGAUUAUAACUCUAACACUGUGGCUUCUAGUCAGACAUGGUAUUACAUAUCUUCACGAAGGUGGCUUCACGUGUCAGCGAGGGUUAAAAAUGGGAGCUCUCUUGGGGAUGGAGGGGAGCAACCAACAGAAUUGCUAAAUGGCCGUACAGCCCAGAAAUUUGCUUGUUAUCAUAAUGAGUUAUUUUGAAAAAUCUAGGACAUCCUUCACAUGAUCAUCUCAAAGAUAAUUUAAAAAGCAAGACAUACUCUAGGGCACAAAAAAGCAAAAUUCAAAAUAUUUUAGAAAGCUAAAUUAUUUCCAGUAGGGUUUAUAAAUACUGUACAUGAAAUGUGAGGCUAGGACUCUGAUCACAAAAACCUUAUACCAAUGCAUUCUUGUAUCCCAACUUAAUCUGUCAUGAUUGGCAGUUUUCUAAAAUAGAUCAUGAGUCUUUGUGCAACAGGGUGAUGUUAGAGGCAAGAGAGAACAUCCCGUUUGGUUUUAUUUCACGGAGUAGAGCUAUGUGACUCUGCUAUUUCGGAAGAGUGGCCAUCUUCUGCAUGCUUUGUUGCAGACAGCCUUUCUGGCUGCAGUAAUUUAGGGGCAUGUGAGAGCUGAGUUUGAAAGUACACUAAAACACCAUCAGGCAAGCGCUGAGUAUGACGUCUUCUGAGGCUGGUCUCAUUUUGUAGGUUGUGUGCAAGGUGCAUUUCAAUUGAUUGACUGGAUCUACCUGCCAACAUGUCUAUGAGAUAGGACUGAGCCAGAAAUAUUUGAAUCAACUUAACAUUUGUUUAGGCAAAUCGAUUUAAAGAUAAUUGGCCGGUUCAAAUCUAUGACUUGAUUGGACUGGACUGCUGAGAGAGGCUGAGUUGGUCCACAGCUCAGGCUGGGUCUUCUGGUUUACCUCAGGUGGCUCAUUAGCAGGGCUAGAGCACACCCCUUUCAACAUCAUCUUUCUGUGUGUGUUUGGAGAGGCUGGGACCUGAACAGAUGGCCUCGAUGUGGGCUCCCAUGACUACCAGGCAUGCCAAGCAGGCAGAUGAGUGAUCUGGCUUGUUCCUUCUCUUUUAAAUUGCUGUCAGCCAGGGAAAAGUGGUGAAAAUAAAUCAAUGGCUCCCUCCUCCAGACCCAGCAUGUACCUUUCAGUCAUCAAAAUAAGAAACAUCCUGUGGUGGCUGUUGGGUGAUUUCUCUGAUAGGAAGAGCCCUUCACAUACUGGAUAUUAACAUAACAAAUGGCCAAAUUGUAUCUCAGAAAGGACAUUUUUUUUGUCAGGGACCAAAUGUUGGCA